rnacentral:rRNA from 1 species
UACGAAGGGGGCUAGCGUUGCUCGGAAUUACUGGGCGUAAAGGGAGCGUAGGCGGGUUAUCAAGUUGGGGGUGAAAGCCCGGGGCUCAACCUCGGAAUUGCCUUCAAAACUGAUAACCUGGAGUAUGGAAGAGGUAAGUGGAACUCCGAGUGUAGUGGUGGAAUGCGUAGAUAUCGGGAGGAACACCAGUGGCGAAGGCGGCUUCCUCGGAC